UAGGGAAUAUUGGACAAUGGGUGAGAGCCUGAUCCAGCCAUGCCGCGUGCAGGAAGAAGGCGUUAUGCGUUGUAAACUGCUUUUGCCAGGGGAUAAAAAGACCGUGCGCGGUUAAUUGAAGGUACCUGGUGAAUAAGCCACGGCUAACUACGUGCCAGCAGCCGCGGUAAUACGUAGGUGGCAAGCGUUGUCCGGAAUCACUGGGCGUAAAGGGUGUCGAGGCGGUUGUAUUAGUCGUUCGUAAAAUCUACGAGCUUAACUUGUAGGCGGCGAACGAAACGGUACGACUUGAGGUUUGGAGAGGUGCGUGGAACUCACGGUGUAGGGGUGAAAUCCGUUGAUAUCGUGGGGAACACCAAAGGCGAAGGCAGCGCACUGGCCAAAAUCUGACGCUCACACACGAAAAGCUAGGGUAGCGAAGAGGAUUAGAUACCCAGGUAGUCCCUG
rnacentral:rRNA from 1 species